CGGUAAUUAGCGCAGUCAGGUAGCGCACCUGCUUUGGGAGUAGGUUGUCGAAGGUUCGAAUCCUUCAUUACCGACCA
rnacentral:tRNA from 1 species